rnacentral:rRNA from 1 species
AUUGAACGCUGGCGGAAUGCUUUACACAUGCAAGUCGAACGGCAGCACGGACUUCGGUCUGGUGGCGAGUGGCGAACGGGUGAGUAAUGUAUCGGAACGUGCCCAGUCGUGGGGGAUAACGUAGUGAAAAUUACGCUAAUACCGCAUACGAUCUAUGGAUGAAAGCGGGGGAUCGCAAGACCUCGCGCGAUUGGAGCGGCCGAUAUCAGAUUAGGUAGUUGGUGGGGUAAAGGCCCACCAAGCCAACGAUCUGUAGCUGGUCUGAGAGGACGACCGGCCACACGGGAACUGAGACACGGUCCAGACUCCUAGGGGAGGCGGCAGUGGGGAAUUUUGGACAAUGGGCGAAAGCCUGAUCCAGCCAUUCCGCGUGCAGGAUGAAGGCCCUCGGGUUGUAAACUGCUUUUGUACAGAACGAAAAGGUUUCUACUAAUACUAGGAGCUCAUGACGGUACUGUAAGAAUAAGCACCGGCUAACUACGCGCCAGCAGCAGCCGCCG